UAGUUAUUAUCUAAUUUAUGACGUCAGUAAAUAGACUAUUCCUAAUAUUUUAGGUAACAGGCUAAUACAUUUAUGAUUGGAUAGUACUACUCCCAACUGUGGAAAUAAUUAGAAUUAUAUUCAAAUAUGAUGACGUAAUAUAAAGUAGAUCAAUCAUCUGCUUUCCUUUAGCUGACGUUGAUAUCUAUUUCUCAAGCUAAAUUAAAGAUUUUAAUGUACUUCUGCCUUACUAUGCCAAACUACCAAAUGAGUAUUUAUUUAUCUAGCUAUUGUUUAUUAUUCUUCAACCUAUUUACUUCAUCCAGGAUUCCUUGUGGAAUAUUAAUUUACUCAUUACAUUUGAUACGGGGCACUGAUCAUGUAUUCAAAGCUAUUUAUCGGUGAGGAUAUGCUUCCCCUACUUCAACUGAAAGAGGAUACGUUUCAAAUCCAUCCGUUCUCCCUUUAUAUUAAAUGUCCCGAAACCACACACUGAAGUCAUUUCUGGGAACAUUCUUACAUGAAGAUUUUAGGAAGAAAGUGUUGAAGAUGGUCAUGGACAAGACGUUUGGUUACAGACUCACUCUGAAAUAGCUUUUUUAAAAAGAGGUAUUGAUGAUCGACUGGAGAAGGAUUUUAUCUUACAUACUCGACCGUUGUAGGUGUACCAUGUUAAUGAAAAAACCAUGAAUGUAGUUAUUAUCCUGUCUUAUGCCAAUCAUAAGUUUAAAGUUCGACAUCUCUCUAUGAAUCACAAGAGCAAGGCUUCCUGUUAACUGACUAUCUUUAUUUUUAACUCAAGCAACGUUGGAGCCAUCCCUGCAGUGAAUACACUCAUCAAGAUUCUAUAUCAUUCCUUCCUUGAUGCCUAUCAUUAUUAGAGACAUUUCUCUUCAUUUAUUUAUGAUGCCUAAUACGUCUUUCUGUCCACUUUGUAUUUGUUUUGUUUCUUCUGAAGAUUAAGAUAUGCUUUAAUAUUGGCUUGAUUUGUUUAUCGAAUUUUGAAGAUUUCCUUUGGAAAUAGUGUUAUAUGAAUGCUAUUAUAAAUUGAAUUCCCUCUAAGUAAUCAGGGAGAACGUACUGAUCAAACUAUGUACCAAAUUGUGAAGCAUACUUAUAUUAUCAUGCCUAUGGAUUCAUCACAACUCAUAGGAGACUUAUUAAGAUAUAUUUUGAGAUAGUUUGAACAGUCCAUAAUGAAUUGAAUCAACAUGAAAUUAUUGAUCGGAGAUUGAAGCUGUGAUCAAAGUCAAUAUUCACUUAUUUAAUGAAAUUUAUGAUGCAGAUGGGCAAUAUUCUAUCUCUCCUCCAAAACAUUCUUCAAUGGCACUGUCAUGGUUACCAUCUUGAUUUUCGGUUUCUUAUUUUUUAACAUGGCCAUUCAACACUGGAUUUCCCUCAUUGAGCAUGAAGAUGUAGCUGAUUAUUUGUCAGCCAAUGAAAAUAAAGUAUAUGAAAAGGAAUUAUUAAUAGCCAAUGAAAAUAAAGUAUAUUAAAAGGAAUUUAAUAAUAGCCAAUGAAAAUAUUUCUUUCUUUUUUUUCUCUCCCACGUGUUUCUUUUUCUACUUUUAUAUUGGUUAUUAUUAGUUAAAUUUUUUUUUGUGUGCAUAUUUAAUAUUAAUUUGAAAUAUUAGAAUGAAAAGGUUUAUAUUUAAAAACGAUCUGUUAUAAAAUAAUAUUCAAUUUUUUUAAGGUAUCUCUAAAUAAAUUCCACAUUUAUUUAGAAUAAAUAUGAUCAUAUUUUUAAUUUGAACAUAGUUUCCCUCCUGAUAGUAGAAGUAUAAUGGGAGUUAUUCAUUCUCAGAAAACAAACCCAUAAUCUCCCACUUAAUUUAAUAAAACCUUUUCAUCUAAAUAAAUCGUCUUUAAAAACAUCUUAAUUACUGAGUUUGAAAGUCUUCGUCGAAAUUUGAAAAUAAAGAGUUCAUUUUAUUAUUCUUA
rnacentral:lncRNA from 1 species